UGGACCUACGGGGCGCAGCAGUGGGGAAUAUUGGGCAAUGGGCGCAAGCCUGACCCAGCAACGCCGCGUGAAGGAAGAAGGCUUUCGGGUUGUAAACUUCUUUUCUGAGGGACGAAGAAAGUGACGGUACCUCAGGAAUAAGCCACGGCUAACUACGUGCCAGCAGCCGCGGUAAUACGUAGGUGGCAAGCGUUAUCCGGAUUUAUUGGGUGUAAAGGGCGUGUAGGCGGGAAAGCAAGUCAGAUGUGAAAACUCAGGG
rnacentral:rRNA from 1 species